rnacentral:rRNA from 1 species
AGCGAACGCUGGCGGCAGGCUUAACACAUGCAAGUCGAACGGGCAUCUUCGGAUGUCAGUGGCAGACGGGUGAGUAACACGGGGGAACGUACCCUUCGGUUCGGAAUAACUCAGGGAAACUUGAGCUAAUACCGGAUACGCCCUUUUGGGGUAAGGUUUACUGCCGAAGGAUCGGCCCGCGUAUGAUUAGCUUGUUGGUGGGGUAACGGCCUACCAAGGCUACGAUCUGUAGCUGGUCUGAGAGGAUGAUCAGCCACACUGGGACUGAGACACGGACCAGACUCCUACGGGAGGCAGCAGUGGGGAAUAUUGGACAAUGGGCGCAAGCCUGAUCCAGCCAUGCCGCGUGAGUGAUGAAGGCCUUAGGGUUGUAAAGCUCUUUUGUCCGGGACGAUAAUGACGGUACCGGAAGAAUAAGCCCCGGCUAACUUCGUG